GUGAAAGGAGGAGAGAAAAAAAAAAAAGAAGAAAGAAAGGAAAAAAUGGAUUAAUGCGGUAUCGAUGUGGAGUCAAGAAUGCAUAGCUGUCGCUCUUUGUUUCUAUUUUUAGGUGAAACUGCAGUGGUAUAACUUCACCUUUUUCUAUUUC
rnacentral:ribozyme from 1 species